AGGAUGAUCCUGUGCUGCCGAGAAAAGCAUCGACGCGAGGUCCGGGCCGCCCGUACCCGAAACCGACACAGGUAGUUGGGUAGAGCAUACUAAGGCUAGCGAGUGAAUCGUGGUUAAGGAACUCGGCAAAAUGCCCCCGUAACUUUGGGAGAAGGGGGGCCCUCGCUUUGAAGCCUUUUUCGGGCUAGGGGUUGGGGGUCGCAGAGUCUAGGGAGAAGCGACUGUUUAUCAAAAACACAGGUCUGUGCGAAGCUGUAAGGCGAUGUAUACGGACUGACGCCUGCCCGGUGCUGGAAGGUUAAUCGGACUGGUUAGCCCACGUUGUGGGUGAAGCUGGGAAGUUAAGCCCCAGUAAACGGCGGUGGUAACUAUAACCAUCCUAAGGUAGCGAAAUUCCUUGUCGGGUAAGUUCCGACCUGCACGAAUGGCGUAACGACUUCUCCGCUGUCUCGACCACGAGCUCGGUGAAAUUGCAGUACGAGUAAAGAUGCUCGUUUCGCGCAGCAGGACGGAAAGACCCCGGGACCUUUACUAUAGCUUGGUAUUGGUGUUUGGUUCGGCUUGUGUAGGAUAGGUGGGAGACUGUGAAGCAGUGACGCUAGUUGUUGUGGAGUCGUUGUUGAAAUACCACUCUGGUCGUGCUGGAUGUCUAACUGUGGCCCGUGAUCCGGGUCCGGGACAGUGCCUGGUGGGUAGUUUAACUGGGGCGGUUGCCUCCUAAAUGGUAACGGAGGCGCUCAAAGGUUCCCUCGGCCUGGUUGGUAAUCAGGUGGUGAGUGUAAGUGCACAAGGGGGCUUGACUGUGAGACAGACAUGUCGAGCAGGUACGAAAGUAGGAACUAGUGAUCCGGCGGUGGCUUGUGGAAGCGCCGUCGCUCAACGGAUAAAAGGUACCCCGGGGAUAACAGGCUGAUCCUGCCCAAGAGUUCAUAUCGACGGCAUGGUUUGGCACCUCGAUGUCGGCUCGUCGCAUCCUGGGGCUGGGGUAGGUCCCAAGGGUUGGGCUGUUCGCCCAUUAAAGCGGUACGCGAGCUGGGUUCAGAACGUCGUGAGACAGUUCGGUCCCUAUCCGCUGCGCGCGUAGGAGAAUUGAGAAGGGCUGUUCCUAGUACGAGAGGACCGGAACGGACGAACCUCUAGUGUGCCAGUUGUUCCGCCAGGGGCAUUGCUGGUUGGCCACGUUCGGGAGGGAUAACCGCUGAAAGCAUCUAAGCGGGAAGCCUGCUUCGAGAUGAGUUCUCCAGCCACAAUUUUUUGUGGGUGAGGCCCCCUAGAGAUGAUGGGGUUGAUAGGCCGGGGGUGGAAGCCUUGUGAGGGGUGGAGCUGACCGGUACUAAUGGCCGACCACCUAUGAUUA
rnacentral:ncRNA from 1 species